CAACCCUCGAGACCCCUCCGGGGGACUCGGUGUUGGGGACCGGCCCCGCCCAGCAGCGGGCGCCGCCCCCUAAAUACAGUGGCGGCCUCGCCGUAGCCUCCCGUGUGCAGUAUCUUUCAGAACCUCGCACUGGAGCUCGGCGCGGCCACGCCGUAAAACCCCGACUUCUUCCAAGG
rnacentral:misc_RNA from 1 species